rnacentral:rRNA from 1 species
GAUGAACGCUGGCGGCGUGCCUAAUACAUGCAAGUCGAGCGAACGGACGAGAAGCUUGCUUCUCUGAUGUUAGCGGCGGACGGGUGAGUAACACGUGGAUAACCUACCUAUAAGACUGGGAUAACUUCGGGAAACCGUAGCUAAUACCGGAUAAUAUUUUGAACCGCAUGGUUCAAAAGUGAAAGACGGUCUUGCUGUCACUUAUAGAUGGAUCCGCGCUGCAUUAGCUAGUUGGUAAGGUAACGGUUUACCAAGGCAACGAUGCAUAGCCGACCUGAGAGGGUGAUCGGCCACACUGGAACUGAGACACGGUCCAGACUCCUACGGGAGGCAGCAGUAGGGAAUCUUCCGCAAUGGGCGGAAGCCUGACGGAGCAACGCCGCGUGAGUGAUGAAGGUCUUCGGAUCGUAAAACUCUGUUAUUAGGGAAGAACAUAUGUGUAAGUAACUGUGCACAUCUUGACGGUACCUAAUCAGAAAGCCACGGCUAACUACGUG